AGUGGACGCUGGCGGUAGGCCUAACACAUGCAAGUCGAACGGCAGCACAGUAAGAGCUUGCUCUUACGGGUGGCGAGUGGCGGACGGGUGAGGAAUACAUCGGAAUCUACUUUUUCGUGGGGGAUAACGUAGGGAAACUUACGCUAAUACCGCAUACGACCUACGGGUGAUAGCAGGGGAUCUUCGGACCUUGCGCGAUUGAAUGAGCCGAUGUCGGAUUAGCUAGUUGGCGGGGUAAAGGCCCACCAAGGCGACGAUCCGUAGCUGGUCUGAGAGGAUGAUCAGCCACACUGGAACUGAGACACGGUCCAGACUCCUACGGGAGGCAGCAGUGGGGAAUAUUGGACAAUGGGCGCAAGCCUGAUCCAGCCAUACCGCGUGGGUGAAGAAGGCCUUCGGGUUGUAAAGCCCUUUUGUUGGGAAAGAAAAGCAGCAGGUUAAUACCCCGCUGUUCUGACGGUACCCAAAGAAUAAGCACCGGCUAACUUCGUG
rnacentral:rRNA from 1 species